rnacentral:lncRNA from 1 species
ACUUGUUUUCUUUUUCGUUUUUCAUUUUCAAUGCGUGUUCCUAAAGAUCCAUUCUUCAAUCACUAAUAAUAUCCAUGGACUAAAAACCUUGGGUCGGCAGUUUCUUGAUGAAGUUAACUACUGUAAGGGCAUUGGCAGGCUGGGACAACGUCUCCACUCUGGAUUGAGACAGGAGCUACUGAAAAGUGAGACAGUGUUGCAGAUGAAAAGGGGAUGAAAUGCUUCUGUCAAAUGGUAAUCUUC